CAUCAAUGGCUCUACAGCCCCUUGUGGGCCUUAUUCUCUUCAAAUAUAUUUCGCCAUCGCAAUCUAUUUCGUGCUUCUUGCGUACAAAUCCGAACCACUAUUGUUUCGAAUCCAAAAUUUCGUUAGCAAAAAGGGCUGGACCAUUAUUAAAAGGUCCUAAAAGUGGCUAAAAAUCUUCAACUUGAUGCCCUUGUUAAUGUAACAUAAUUACAUUUACUUGUACCAACUACCUACUAUAUUAGAUAUAAUCUGUGCACCUAACCAUAAAGUAAAUUAAAUCAGACACUAUACAGUACAUAAUCUAAUUGGAAACAUUUCAAAAAAAAAAAAAAAUUUGGAAACAUAGAUGAUAGAAGUUUGUUUUUAUUUUUCGCUUAAGCUUGAUUUAUUUAUUAGAACUAGAAGUCGCCAUUAUAAAUAAAGUGAAGUGAAGUGUUUUAUUUAUUCACGGGAAUAUUGAAAAAAUCCACCUAUAAGACAAAAUAUUUGAACAAAUAUGGAAGAAAAAUCUAAAUGAAAAUCUUAAAGAUUCAAGCUCUAUGUACGUGACUCCUGGUGAACUACUAUGUUAAUGUGUAUUUAAAUAGCUUGAGUGCAUUUCUAGAAAAUGAAUCCAAGCACUUACAAAGCCUUAAAAUCUCCUAGUUCCCAGCAUAAUACUGGACCUGGACAAACAAAAAAUAAUGUUAAGAUUCAUAUUGGUAAUGUAUCAAUGACGCAUAUAAAAACAGAAAAAAAAGUAACAAUUGAUGCCUCCCAAUUAGAGAAAACUGACACAAAAAUUAACAAACAUGUCUUUGUCUUAAGUAACAAGCUCAUUCUUUUAAUUGUAGUUGCAUUUGUAUUGUUUUUUAGUAUUUAUACCAAACAUAAAGUUAAUGAAUAUAAUAAAAUGAAAGACCUUAAUAAUAUGUUAAUGAAAGUGAAAUCAAUGUUUGUAUCUUUAUAUGAAAUGGAUGAAAAAGUGGCAAAGGGAAUACAGCAUGUGGAAAACUCUUAUAAUGUUUAUCAAAAUAGCUUUUCAUAUAUUGAAAUGACUGAACCUCAAACAAAUAUUUGAAAAUGUAAUAUGUUCUGUAUACCAAAAUAAAUAAUAUUUGUUUUACUGUGA